rnacentral:rRNA from 1 species
GUGAGGAAUAUUGGUCAAUGGGCGGGAGCCUGAACCAGCCAAGUCGCGUGAAGGAAGAAGGAUCUAUGGUUCGUAAACUUCUUUUGCAGGGGAAUAAAGUGCAGGACGUGUCCUGUUUUGUAUGUACCCUGAGAAUAAGGAUCGGCUAACUCCGUGCCAGCAGCCGCGGUAAUACGGAGGAUCCGAGCGUUAUACGGAUUUAUUGGGUUUAAAGGGUGCGUAGGUGGUUUGAUAAGUCAGCGGUGAAAGUUUGCAGCUUAACUGUAAAAAUGCCGUUGAAACUGUCGGACUUGGGUGUUAAUGAGGUAGGCGGAAUGCGUGGUGUAGCGGUGAAAUGCAUAGAUAUCACGCAGAACUCCGAUUGCGAAGGCAGCUUACUAAGCUACAACUGACACUGAAGCACGAAAGCGUGGGGAUCAAACAGGAUUAGAUACCCGUGUAGUCC